rnacentral:rRNA from 1 species
CCAGAGAUUUCCGAAUGGGGGAACCCACUAUCUUUAGUCGGAUAGUAUCCUUACGUGAAUACAUAGCGUAAGGAAGGCAGACCCAGGGAACUGAAACAUCUAAGUACCUGGAGGAAGAGAAAGAAAAAUCGAUUUCCUGAGUAGCGGCGAGCGAAACGGAAAGAGCCCAAACCAAGAAGCUUGCUUCUUGGGGUUGUAGGACACUCUAUACGGAGUUACAAAAGAAAGUUAUAAAUGAAGCGGUCUGGAAAGGCCCGCCAAAGACGGUAACAGCCCGGUAGUUGAAAUGGCUUUCCCUCCAGAGUGGAUCCUGAGUACGGCGGAACACGUGAAAUUCCGUCGGAAUCCGGGAGGACCAUCUCCCAAGGCUAAAUACUCCCUAGUGACCGAUAGUGAACCAGUACCGUGAGGGAAAGGUGAAAAGCACCCCGGAAGGGGAGUGAAACAGUUCCUGAAACCGUGUGCCUACAAGUAGUUAGAGCCCGUUAAUGGGUGAUAGCGUGCCUUUUGUAGAAUGAACCGGCGAGUUACGAUUUGUUGCAAGGUUAAGCGGAAAAAGCGGAGCCGUAGCG